UUGACAGGAGAAGCUCUUCCCCCCGCUGAUUGGAAGUCUAUUGCACGAGCUUGUUUAAAUGGUGGAGAUUAUUUAAUAUGGAAGUUUGAUUUUUAUGAACGGGCUGCUGAACAAGCAGAAAAGAAUGCUGCCCAUAAUAUUCCAGUUGAUUAUCAUAUGCUGAUUGGGGAAGGACAAUAUCUUUCUUUACAAGAUCAAUUAACUUAUCCCUUUGUUGCUUGUCCUCAAAUAAAUCAUUUGGCAUUACAAGCCUGGAGGAAAUGACCUUCUACACACAAAACUGAGGAUCUUUCAACAAUUAGACGGGGACCUGAUGAACCAUAUGCUGAUUUUGUAGAUAGGUUGUCACAGGCGGUGGGGAGACUCAUUGUGGACGGACUCACUGGUAUGAUUGUAGUUAAGCAACUUGCUUUUGAAAAUGCUAAUAAUGCGUGUCAGGCUGCGAUUCGACCUUGGAGAAAACGGGGAACAUUGGAGGAUUAUAUUCACCUUUGUGCAGACAUUGGGCCUACUUAUAUACAGGGUGCUGCUGUGGCUGCAGCAUUAACUAAAGUGGGGUUUAAAAACAAUCAAAAGAAAACAAAGACUUGUUUUAAAUGCGGAAAGGCAGGUCAUUUUGCUAGAGAAUGUAGAUCUUUUAAUUCUAACCCUAGUCCUUCCUUCCCUACUCAGAAACCUCCAGAUGGUCAGAAAAUCCCUGGUUUAUGCCCUAAAUGCAAUAGGGGAAAACAUUGGGCACAGAUUCUUGCUCAGUGGCCCACAAGGAUGGGCCACCACUGUCGGGAAACUCCUCCCGGGGCCUUCCCCGGCCCCAACAAAUAAUAAGGGUAAUGUCUGUGUAUCCUCCUCAAAUUAUCAAUCAGACAUUAACCAAAAACAAAAACAUACGAUAUCCUCGCUCUCCAGAGCAACACCAGGAAGCGCAGGACUGGAGCUCAGUACCUCCGCCCGAUAUGUAUUAACUCCUGAAAUGGGUCCUCAGGCCCUCUCUGCAGGCAUCUGUGGACCUUUACCCAAGGGUUUGAUGGGACUAUUAUUGGGAAGAAGUAGUGUCACCAUGAAAGGUUUAACUGUUAUGCCAGGAGUCAUGGUUUCUGACUACGAAGGAGAAAUAAAAGUCAUGGCACAAACUAUUAAAAAUAUAAUAACUAUUUCUCCUGGUGAUCAAAUUGGACAAUUGCUACUUUUGCCCUUUGUACCUCAUGGACAAAGUUUACAACAUCAAAAGAGAGAAACAAAGGCUUUUGGAUCGUCUAAUGCUGCCUACUGGAUUCAGAAGAUAGGGAAAGAACGUCCAGAAAUGAAAUGAACCAUUAAUGGAAAGGUUUUUUCAGGCAACAGCCUGUUCCUCAUGUACCUUUGGUUUUUACGGAUGGUUCUUCUUCAGGAGUGGCUACUGUAAUCAUUGACGACGGAACAAACCUCAUUAAAGAAACUUCCUUGACUUCAGCUCAACGUGUUGAACUGUAUGCUGUCAUUAUGUCUUUUAAACAUUUGCCUUCUAUAUCUUUUAAUUUGUUUUCUGAUAGUAAAUAUCUUAUUAGCUUGUGAUUUCUUCUAGAGACUGCGAGCAUAGGACAUACUAAUGACCCUGAAUUAUCAUCCUCUUUUCGUUUGCUUCAACAGCUUAUUCGUUCCCAUGAUGGUCCUGUUGCAGGUCUGUAUAUCCGUGCUCAUUCUAACUUGCCUGGUCCAUUGACUAAACUUAAUGCGACUGCAGAUGUUUUAACUCGAUCUAAACGUGAUCUUUAUCCUGUACAUUUUCCUCCCAAGAAUAGAGUUGAAGUUACUCCUCCUCCUCAAUCUCUUUUCCCUAAAGCAGGACAUGUCCCAAUUUACCGUACUCCUCCUUUCCGUUCGUCAUGCUGUCAAGAAUGGCUAAUAUACUGCAUUCAUUAUCUUCAUACUCUUGAUACUCAUGGUCCAUGUCCUGGACACCCUCAUAUUAUGGUAAGUUAUGAUCAAACUGCUUCACAAGCAGCACAGCAGUUGCACGCUUUACACCGUCAGUCAGCGGCUACAUUACACACACAAUUUUCCCUUACUGGUGAAGCCGCCCCACAAAUUGUUAAGCAAUGCGCACAAUGCUUACCUCACCUUCCUGUUCCACAUUAUGUUGUUAAUCCUCGUGGAUUAUUACCUAGACAUUUAUGGCAAAUGGAUGUUACUCAUAUCCCGUCUUUUGGGAAAUUACAGUUUGUUCAUGUCACUAUCGAUACUUAUUCUGGUUUCCUCUGUGCUACAGCACAGACCGGAGAAGCUACUAAACAUGUUAUCACUCAUUUAUUACACUGUUUUGCUUUCAUGAACCUUCCCAAAAUUAUUAAAACAGAUAAUGGGCCCGCUGCUUUUGCAACAUUUUGUAAUUCAUUACAAAAUUACCCAUAUUACAGGCAUUCCAUAUAACCCUCAAGGACAAGGUAUUAUAGAACGUGCAAAUAGAUCUUUAAAGCUAACUAUUGAAAAAAUAAACAGGGGGGAAUUGUAUAGAACAACGCCACAUAACCUUAUAAAUCAUGCUCUGUUUAUUUUAAAUGUUCUCACUGUUGACAAAUUUGGCUGCUCUGCAGGGGGAAGGUUGGUGGCUGAGCCAAGAUUGGCCUCUCAAUCUCCGGAGGUCCUCUGGAAAGAUCCGUUAACCAGCACUUGGCGUGGUCCUGAUCCUGUGUUGAUUUGGGGACGUGGUCACGUGUGUAUCUUUCCCAGAUCAGCGCCUGGACCUCGCUGGCUUCCUGAGUGCUUAGUCAAGCAAAUAGAUGGCUCGCCACAGCUCACCUAGUUCAGAAGAUGAAGAAGCUCUGCACCUCUCCCGAAAAUUUGACAGUGUUGAUUGACAAAAAGAAGAAGAAGAGGAGACCACUUGCCAGGACGACUCAAAGGAGUGAUGUUCCAACUUGGGGACAAAUUAAACAACUGGUUUCACGAGCUCAAGAGUCAGUGAAACAACAGAAUAAUCCUGUUACACCUGUAACUUUAUUUUUGGCUAUGUUGGCAACCAUUUCAUGUGUUCCCUCUGUUAAUGCAGCAACUUACUGGGCCUAUGUACCUGAUCCUCCACUAUUACAACCCAUAUCUUGGUCUGAAGCAGAGUUUCCUGUAUUUUACAAUGAUAAGUGUUUAUGGGCCUCUUAUUGGGAAUAUAAAACAAAUCAAUAUGUCUGUAAAUUAUACUAACUGGUUUAGUACCCAUCCUGUCUGUCUUAGCCCAUUGAAUCUGGAAACUGGAUGUGUAAAGGCUAUUAGUUAUGAGCAUACAGAUGUUUAUGAGGGAACGGAUCAAUCAAUUAGUUUGUCAGGCUCUCCAGGCAUCCUUCGUUUUACAGGAACCAACAUUACUCUUACAUGCCAGGCUACCAGCGACGAGAGGAUCUUAAGGAUACCGUCAUUUGGUAUAAAAUGGGCAAGCUAUUAAUAUUAGAGGUCAAAUCUCAUACGCCUCACCACUUAGGGAUUCCGCUAUUACUAUAGCCAAGGUUACAGGUGAAGAUUCAGGAAAUUAUUUCUGUAUGAAGCGUUUACUUGGAGGACAAGGGAUACUUAUAGCUGGACAUAAGGUUACUAUGCUUAACAGAAAAUCAAAAAAUCAAUUGCCUCCCCUUAUGACCGUUAACUUUCCUGGAUCCACUUUUGAACGUUGCAAUGCAUCUUGGAAUAAUAACCAAAUAUGGUGUACUAUAGAUUAUACCAAGGUGUCAGUUCUUAUCUCUUCUUUUCCCAUCAUAGAUAGGUUUAUCACAUUUCAGAAGAACUGGGAUAUAUGGAAACUAGCUCUAACUUAUUCCAAUACACCUGUUAUAACUUGUGUUGCUCCUCCAUAUACACUUUUGUUUGGUUCUAUUAACAUUGGUAAUUCUUCCAAAGGAGGAUAUAAUAUUAGCUGUGUUAAUUGUAUUUUUAGCAGUUGUAUGUUCCCUUCUGCAGGAUCGCAAUCUGUGCUUAUACUAAAGCAACCCAUGUAUGUUAUGGUGCCUGUACAUCUGAGAGAACCUUGGUAUGAAGAUACUGGAGUACAGGCAUGGGUGGAACUCUCUAAAGCCUUGCAGAGAAGGAGACGCUUUCUUGGGUGGCUAAUAGUAAGUUUACUUGCCUCGGCUGCUCUGUCUGCUGCCGCGGCUACUGCCGGUCUUGCUCUUUCACAGAGUAUUCAUCAUGCUCACUUUGCUAAUCAGUUAUCUCAACAUACCAGUCUUGCUUUAUCUUUACAAAGUCACAUAGAUUUACAGAUUAGUAACAAGUUAGAUGAAUUUAAAAACGCAAUUUUGGGGAUUGGAGAUCAGAUGGCAGCAUUAAAAUUGAGGAUGCGUCUAGCUUGUCAUGCAAAGUAUACAUGGAUGUGUGUUACUCCUUAAAAGUACAGUGACUAUUUGGGAAUGGGAAAAAGUAAAAAUGCAUCUGCUGAGUGUUUGGUCAGAUAAUAAUAUUAGUCUUGAUCUUAAGAAAUUAAAUGCUGAAAUUCAGGAUAUACAAAAUACACAUCUUGAUGAUGUUUCGCCAGAAGAUGUAAUUCAAACUUUACUGGAUCAUUUAAAGUGGUUAAACCCUCAGUCUUGGAUUACUGGAAGGUUGUCAGGAUUUAUUACCCUGGCCAUAAUUUGCCUAUUAUUGAUAAUAAUCUUCUCAUGUCUGUUUCGUAUCCUCAUGCAAUAGUACACUACUCUCGGCACUAAACUUCAUGGAAUUACUUUGCAGCAAAAGUUAAAAAAUAAAAAAGGGGGACCUGUGGGAAGCAGUCAGCCUUGAGAGCAGGUAAGGACAUGCUAGGCAUGCCGCCGCUGCUCGAAGGGACUGUCCCUACUUGUUCCCCUCCUUGUUCCAUUCCAUGGGAGAUAAAUCACGAGGGCCCAGAGAUCAGAAAGAAUGUAAAAUGAGACAAGCAAAGCUGUCUUCCCCCUGCACAUGCAGGUUAUUUUUGAUGAUUCUGGGUUUAUGGGUUUCCUCCCAGGGAAGUUAACCUUGAGCCGAGACAGUCUGUAGAUAAUGUAAACCACCAUCUGGCAACCUUCCUUUUUCUAGUCUAGAUAAUCUGCAACUGUAGAGCAAUAAAAUUUGCCUUGCAACCAUCA